CUAGUCGGAUUCGUUAACCACUGCGCCACGACGGGAACUCCCUGAGAAUAUUUUAAUACAUGCUUUACUCUCAUUAAAAUUUUCAAACUUUUAAUUAUAUAAAACUUAUUUUCUCUCCAGAAAUAAAAAUAGUGCCAUUUUCUCAUAUUUUAUUAAGCAGUUUUGGAAGCUACUCAGAAGAUGAUGGCAUGAAAUAAAUACUUGUUUUAUUUAUAUUAUCUAUAUGAAAUUUUUAAAUGUAAUUUAUAUUGAUUUACAAAAAUAUUUUUGUCAUAGUUAAAGUAAUCUAGAAGUCUAUGAAUUUUCAGUAGAUCAAAUAUGUAUGUUUAAAUGUAUAGAUUAGAAUUAUACAUGAAUAUAAAAGGAUGUUUCCAGAAAGAGAGAAAAGGAGAAUACUAAUUUAACUCCUCAUUAAGGAUCUUUAUCAGACCUAUCAGUCUGCUCCAAAGAACUAAGUUAAGCAAUGGAAAUUCCCUAUGUAUUAGCAGUUUGAGUGAUGGAAGUUUUUAAUUUUUCUGUUAUCUUAUUAAUGGCAACAUCCUGUGACCUUGGACUUGAGAAAAUUUAUAUCAGAAAAUUGUCUAAAACACCUUAAGCAUAAUGAAUCCUUUAAAUGUACAAACAAUAAACUGCUAAUACAAAACACAACUAAAUUAUCUAAAUUCAGAGGGUUUUCAAAUUGUGUUAUCAUCACCCAUGAAAGCUUUGUGGUAGUUUAUGGCAUAUACAUAAUGUUGGGAAGGGGGAUGCUAUUGCUUGAGGCUGGUAGUGCCUUUUUUUUCUUGUAUACAUUAGGCAUCCAAUCAGGGUUUGUUGAUUGUUUCCAUGCUGAAUAUAUUCUAGUUUUCUAUAACUGUCAAUGAAAUGUCAUUCUAACUGUAACUCGUGCAUAUCUUUAUGUAUAAUGUGAAAUGUCAUUGUUGGAUAUUGAGAGUCCAUAUAAUUUAUAUACAUUAUGAAAGUCCUGGAAUUUAAGAGCAUUUAGAAUGAGACCUUUGAAAUCUUACAAAUUCAAGUUCCAGGUUACAUAGUCUAAAAAUUAAGGCAUAUUUAAAUAAAGAAUGGUAAUUUUAUGUUUUAUAAAUAAAAUACAUUACAUUUACCUCUUUAUGCAUUUGUAAUUUAAUCAUUCUGGGACAGAACACCCUGUGUUCAGAUCCAGAAAAAUUAAUAGAUUUUAUUUGCAUAUAUUUCUACUGUUUCCUUGACAACUACUAUAGACGCUGCUAUCACCAUGGGGAUGGUUCUUCUAAAUGAAGCGGCAACAUCCAAAGGAGAUGUUGGAAAAAGACGAAGUAAGUCUCUGUGUUGGUGUUUUUACAGCUGUGGUGUUUCUUACUUUUUUCUCUUUCUUGGAUGUGUGUGUAAAUACUUAAACAUACAUUUCUUCCAAAAUGGGACUGGGUGAUUUCUAUGGAAUUGGGUAUAAAUAAGAGCUGUUAUUCACUCUUGUCAAAGGUGCUCUGACUCAUCGCAUCUGGAAUGGUAGUCACUCUAGUUAGUCUACCCUACAGGAACAGGUGGAAAAUUCUGUGUGCAGAGUCUUUAAAGAUCUUAUUGGCAAGUGCUAUCUAUGUUCCCUAUGCCACCCGAAUCAGGUAGCACUCAAAGACUGACAGAGAAGUUUUUUUGCAUAGGUCUUGUAUCCUGAAACAUUAUAACACCUUCCAAUUACCUCCAAACAUGCUUUUACCAACAUUUAGAAAGGGGGCAUCUCAUGAUACCAUCUUCUCCAGGGUCUUUGCCUUUUGCAAUGAUAGUCCAAGAUUUACAACUCUACAAAGUUCCAGCAUUAUGUCUAAAGCAAAUCAACUGCUUUAUACUUUGACAGGACUCUGUGCUUUCAGGGAGUUGCAGAAAAAGAAUACAUUUUUAACAUAUUUUUGGCAGGAAAAGGGAAACAUUUUCUGCCCAGGGGAAUAUAGGUUAGAAAAGGACAGAGAGCCUUACAUUCACUAUUUCCUGCCACAGACAUUUUUAUAAUUAAUUUCAAAUCCCUAUGUGAGUAUGUGAUUAUGCCUCCACAAACCUAAGAUUUUCCUCAACAUACCCUGCAUUUCUGCAUCCUUUUUAAAACCCAGAAUUUAUGUAUGAGGUGCAUAGGCAUCUGGGAAAGACUCAUAAUUAUUAAAAAUUUUUAAAUAAAAAUCCAGACUUAUUUUCUUUAUUUUAGCUAGGGUGACCUGUAUUUAAGUCAGUCAUACUGACUUGUAAAUACUUAGAUAUCUUAAGUGUCAAAAUGUUUGGGAUGGAAUAUAUAUUUUAGUCUACACUUUGUUUUCCCAUAAUGCCAACUAUACACUGUUGUAAAGAAACUACAGAAGAAUUACCUUGUUUAGUUAAGCAUUGGUUAGAACAUCUUAGGAUUUAUCUUUUGAAUGUGACUUCCUAGGGACUGACAAAUAUUUAUAAGGACAAAUUAUGUGGUUAUGUAUCAUGUAUCUUGUUAUAUUAAAGUAGUAAGAAAAGUAGUACUUGCUUAAUCUCACAUCUAAGAUAGUGAGUUUAUAAAACCACUGCUUCUAAUUUCUGCCUUGGUAGAGGUAGAGAAUAUAUAUCUACAUAUAUAUGUGUAAAAUCACUCCAACCCCCACCCACUGCCAGUUUGUUUAUACGUGUGUGUGUGUGAGAGAGAGACAGACAGAAAGACCGAGAGAGUUGGGGAAUGGGAAACACUUUAAAAUUAUUCCCUUUUGAUUCUAGUGUGAUUUUUAUUUUUGAUAUAAUACAAAUAUUGUGUUUAUUAUUGCCCAGGUCAGAAUGCUUCUGUGUGGUUAGAGCAUUUUCUUCUUCCAAGUGUGUUAUCUUGUACGGGCUGCAGUGGUUUGGUUGGUAAUUACUAACCCCUCUCUCCAUUCCUCUUCCUUCCCCCCGACCAAGUGCUUGAGUAGCAGUAUUUUGUUCCACUGCAUGGAAUCAAGUAAACAUAUUCCGUUUUACUUGAUCACAUACUUUGAGGCUCAUUUCCUACUGAGCACAAUCAAAUGAGGCUACUAAAAGCAGCAAAAGGAGUGAAAAGAGUGCUUUAUUCAGUGUCUGAAAACAGAGAGGAAAGAAGUGUCUGAUAAAAAUACCAAAUACAGGGAGUGUAAAGUAAAGCAUCAUGUAAUUAAUUCUCGAUUUAGUAAGAUUGUUGUAAGCAAAGGGCUGUGUCUAGGGCCUGGUGUCUGUCAUACUUGGAUAUUCCACAAUUUAAGAAAAAACAGGGGUUUCUCAUUUUGCACCAUUCAGCAAUUUGUUUCUUACUUUAUUUUCUGCCAAUCUUCAUUUGAAGUUCAACUGAGUGAAGUGUCACAGAUGCUACAAUUGAAUGCUAUUAUGUACUUAUGACUUAUCCCAAUUUGUUCUCAAAACUGAAAGAAUGGUGUUCCUAUAGCCUUGAAGGAAGAUUUAUUUUUUACCUUAUUUUGACAAUGCCAUACUCCCUGAUUUCCAAUAUUGUAAUUAAACAUGGUCUAAUUUAUAUGCUAGAAUAAUUUCUAAAAAUUGUAUUUCAUCACAUAGAAGCAUAUAGAACUGUUCAAUUUUCUUUUUUUCUGUCUUAGUGUAUUUAAUCUCUUCUCUCUUGUUUUCCCCUUUAUUUUAGAAUUAAUUAUUUUAGUUAUUUCAGUGGUUUUAAAGAAUUCCCUGAACCUAAUAAAAGGAUACAAUUAUUGUGCGCAUGUUCUAUUCUUAAGAAAUGUUUAGAUAUUUCUUACUAAGAGAACCGAUUUCUACUUAAUUACAAAACAGAUUUAAGUAAAUUUCAAUUUUUCUAAGUAUACCUAUGUUUUCUUUUAUUCUAAAUGUACCUGCAUUUAAUAGGCUCAGAUUUUUAGCAUUCACAUUUUAUAAACAUCUUUGUAUUUAUUUUAUUAAUAGCAGUCUAUCUUAAUUAAAAAUCCAGUAUAUAUUUGCAUAUAUUUCUAUGAUAUAUAUUUUACUAGUCAUCUACUUUAAAGUCUUCCUAAC
ensembl:lncRNA